UAUCAAAUUCUUACAAGAUAUGGAGCUCUCUUCUAACCAGCUCUGAUGUGCCCGAACUCCCCAGCUCUCAUACUUCUUCAUCAUAGGUUCCACUCAGAGAGGAGGGAAUGGCAAUAAAAGCAACGUCACAGCUGAAAGCAGCUUUCCUACCCGCAGACUCGUGACACGAUCUAAGGGAACUUUCCACUGGAUGAUUGGAUUCUUAUGGAUAGUGCAACAUGGGACAGGAUUCUGUUUCCACUGGCAAAAGGAUGUGACUAGUCCUAGUUUAAGCUACCACUAAUCAAAAGCAAGCAUGGGUGGCUCUUGGCAGGAUGGAUCAACCCUGACAAUGUUUGUGAAGUUUGUGGCUCAGAUAGCAUCAAGAAGGACCAACCACAAAUAUCUUCCUUCAUGAAUGCAGCCCUGUCAGUGCGCUAUUGAUUGAUCAUGAGCAAGGAAAUUCAUCAGUUAAUACCUGACUGCAACCCCACCUGAUCAAGACAUUCCUUGUUACUGUGUAUUCAGUUAUAAUUUAUUUUCUCUCUGGGGUUAAAAAUGUGAUUGUGGCAUAGGCAUUUCUUCAUGCUAAAACGAAAAUUCCAGUACCUUGGCAUGUAUUUCAAGCUAACAGAGGUGUAUUUAAUAUGAUAUGCCAUUCUUUUCGAUAGGGUCGGUACUCAAUACGUAUGUCUAUCUAUUUUUAAACAGUUGGUGACUAGUGCCCAAUUACCAGUUGUAGGAGGGACACGAUCUUCUUUCUGUGCCAUGCAAUUUUGCAAUGCAUAUGACGACACACAUGCACAGAGAGAGAGAGAGAGAGCCAUUGAAAGAUUGAGAUUUUGUCAUAAAACACAUAAUAUGGUGAGCCCUUUUGUGCCCAUAUUACAACAUAAUUGGCUAACAUUAUCUAUCUGCAAUCUCUCUUAUCAAAUACGAACCAGAAACAAUACAUUAUGUGGGGCAGAAUGGCUGUCCCCAGUGGCUCUAAUGCAAUAUCUUGCUGUUGUCAGAAGUUGAAAUCACUGG